AUUAUAUGUGUGUGAAAGACCUUUUUUAUAACCGACAUUACACGCAUCUUAAGAUGUUUUGAACGUGUUUAAAAAUAGAGAAGAUAAUAUUUAAUAAACAGCUGUUUAAUCACAUUAUUGCUAACUUAUUGUAAGGUACUAAUUUAAAAAUAAAUAAAUAAACUGUACAAAAAAAACUAAUUAUUAAAAAAUACUAUUAAAAUGACAAGAAUACCCCUGCAUUAUUUGAUGUAUUAUAUUAGAUUGCUUUUGAAGUUUUUUGUUUGAGGGGCAUUUUUGUCCAAAUAUGUUUGUUGAAACUCGUGACACCAAAAACACUAUUCACUUUUGUGUCCUCUUUAUAUAUAGAAGAUAAUAUACUCACAAACAUUUAAAAAUAUAGAUAAGGGUGUGCUUGUCUUUUCAGCCUAGUUUAUAGACAAGAACUAAGAUUAUUUUUCAAACAAUAUUUUUGUUCACUACUCUCAAAUAAUAGUGAUGUACAACCACCAUAUUUAGUAUUGUUGGAUGAGUUUAAAUUUUAGAAUUUGUGUAGUGGAUAAAAAUAAAUCUCAAUUUUUUUUUUUUAACAAAUGAUAUUAUCUACAAUAAGUGGAAAGGAUGAGCUAAACCUCACAAUGAACUAGGAAUAAAGUGGUUGAAAUUCGUCUUUGACGAAAAUCGAAUCUAAGACCUCUCACUUACAAGUAAAGAGGUAACAAAUUUCAAAAUUUAAGCUCACUCAUCCAGUAACAAUAAAUAGAAUUAUGAAUAUUACCAAAUGGUGUAAUAAGCAAAAAUGCAACCCUUUUUUUAGUCAAUUUUCCCUAUUGUCUGUCUUUUCACAUUCUAUACAAAUAUCCAUAAAAUACAAUCAAUUUUCCAUACCCUACCGUUUGUGCCUGCCUUUCUUUUUCCAUUUUUUUAUAAAAAAAAAAUUAUUUUACCUACCGUUUGUGCCUUUUUUUUUUAUAUAAAAAAAAUUGUUUGACUUUUAAAAUUUUCAAUUACUUUAAAGGAAAACUAAUUAAAAGUGUUUCAAAUCUUUACAUUUUAAUAA
rnacentral:lncRNA from 1 species